AACCUCCGCAAUGUGAGAAAUCGCGACGGGGGGAUCCCAAGUGCCAUUCUUAACGGGAUGGCUUUUCAUUAGUGUAAAGAGCUUUUGGAAUAAGAGCUGGGCAAGACCGGUGCCAGCCGCCGCGGUAACACCGGCAGCUCUAGUGGUAACAAUUUUUAUUGGGCCUAAAGCGUCCGUAGCCGGUUUAAUAAGUCUCUGGUGAAAUCCUGUAGCUUAACUGUGGGAAUUGCUGGAGAUACUAUUAGACUUGAGACCGGGAGAGGUUAGAGGUACUCCCAGGGUAGAGGUGAAAUUCUGUAAUCCUGGGAGGACCGCCUGUUGCGAAGGCGUCUAACUGGAACGGUUCUGACGUGAGGGACGAAAGUUAGGGGCGCGAACCGGAUUAGAUACCCGGGUAGUCCUAACUGUAACGAUGCGGACUUGGUGUUGGGUGGCUUUGAGCUGCUCCAGUGCCGAAGGGAAGCUGUUAAGUCCGCCGCCUGGGAAGUACGGUCGCAAGACUGAACUUAAGGAAUU
rnacentral:rRNA from 1 species